AUACUCUGAUUUCUCUUCAGGUCAUAUAAAUCUUUAGCCUUUUACUACAGAUUUCCUUGGAGAGGAAUAGCAGAAGUUGUACAAGGUAGAUAGAAAAUUCAAAAUAUAAUAAUAU
rnacentral:snRNA from 1 species